AACGAACGCUGGCGGCAUGCCUAACACAUGCAAGUCGAACGAGACCUUCGGGUCUAGUGGCGCACGGGUGCGUAACGCGUGGGAACCUGCCCUUAGGUUCGGAAUAACUCCCCGACAGGGGUGCUAAUACCGGAUAAUGUCUUCGGACCAAAGAUUUAUCGCCUUUGGAUGGGCCCGCGUUGGAUUAGCUGGUUGGUAGGGUAAAAGCAUACCAAGGCGACGAUCCAUAGCUGGUCUGAGAGGAUGAUCAGCCACACUGGGACUAAGACACGGCCCAGACUCCUACGGGAGGCAGCAGUGGGGAAUAUUGGAAAAUGGGCGAAAGCAUGAUCCAGCAAUGACGGGUGAGUGAUGAAGGCCUUAGGGUUGUAAAGCUCUUUUACCCAGGAUGAUAAUGACAGUACCGGGAGAAUAAGCUCCGGCUAACUCCGUG
rnacentral:rRNA from 1 species